GAGGCUGAAGCAGAGUGAACAAGGUGGGAAUGUUAAUAAAGUAGGAGGGAUGACAAUAGAGUAGGAGGUAAAGAAAAUCAUAUGGUGACUUAUAAUCAUUUCUAAAAACUUUGCCUUUUAUUCUAAAUGAAAUGGGUACUAGCAGCUUUGGAGGGUUUUGAGCAGAGGAGAAACAUGACCUGAACUACAAAUUGAAAGAACAACUCUGGCUAUUGCAUUGAGUGGACUCUAAGUAGCUCAGAUUCCAGAACAGACUGGUCAGGAGGCUACUGCACACCUCCAAAGGGCUCACACCAGGGAAUUAUCACUGGAAAUGGACAAGAUGAAAUGGUUAAUAUAAGAGGUUGCUGAGAAAACUUUGGACUAGAAUCAGAGUCAUCGCAGAUUGAACACUCACGAUGGCCAAGUACUGCAUAAGCAUUUGGCAUGCAUUAUUUCCUUGAAUGUUUAUAGCAACUGGAGGAGUACAAAAAAAAUACUGAAUAAGGGUUCCCAGAUUUGAUUUUUCUGAAAAACAUUAUUCCUGACAACUGAGAAAUCAAGAACUCAUGAGAACAUUUGAAAAGUCAUUUAGAACUUCACCAUACCACUUGGCAUGUUACAUAUCUCUGUUGUUAAAAAAGCUUUUAGAAUGGAGUCCUGCAAGCUAUUUGGUACUUAUCACUUUGAGGAGCAGAGCUUACUGUUAAUUACCACUCAGCUCUGAUCACAACUGCAAGAUCACAUUUGUUAAGGAACUAUCUCAUAUCUACCUUCUCGCGUGACUCUAAGCUUGAUGAUGUCAAGGGACAUGUCUGUGUUCAGCACAAAUAAAACUGAGAACCAGAACUCGUGUCUAAGGAGGCAAACUCCUAACAAGUGGAGGGGCAUUUUUUGGUGAGCACAAAUCCUCUCUCCUCAAACAUCCACCUAUUGAAGCAUGUAUUGAUGAUGGAUAUGACUAGGCUGUGGCAGAGUUGAAAUACUCUGCAUAGAGAGACAAGGAUACAGAGAGCCUGGGAGGAGGAUCCAGAAGAAGGAUGAGAUUGAUGAGUGCCCAUGGGGAAGGAUGAGAGGAAAAGAGAGAGACUAAGAGAUACAGAAGCUGAAAGGGAGUUGCUGGGACGAAGAGAUGUUCUGUUCUAAUAAACAUUUGCUGAAUGGA